rnacentral:rRNA from 1 species
UUAAGUGAAUAAGGGCGCACGGAGGAUGCCUUGGCACUAGGAGUCGAAGAAGGACGCGACAAACGGCGAAACGCCUCGGGGAGCUGUAAGUGAGCAUUGAUCCGGGGGUAUCCGAAUGGGGAAACCCGCUAGUGGUUAUACGCUAGCACCAUAUGGUGAAUACAUAGCCAUAUAGGAGACAGACCCAGGGAACUGAAACAUCUAAGUACCUGGAGGAAAAGAAAGAAAAAUCGAUUCCCGUAGUAGCGGCGAGCGAAGUGGGAAGAGCCCAAACCGGAUUUAUCCGGGGUUGUAGGACCUUCAUAAUUGACAAAUCAUGAUAGCCGAAUGGUCUGGGAAGGCCAACCGUAGGGGGUGAGAGUCCCGUAGGUGAAAUUGUGAGAUGCAUGGAAGGAAUCCUGAGUACGGCGGGACACGUGGAAUCCCGUCGGAAUCAACGAGGACCAUCUCGUAAGGCUAAAUACUACCUAGUGACCGAUAGUGAACCAGUACCGUGAGGGAAAGGUGAAAAGAACCCCGGAAGGGGAGUGAAAGAGAACCUGAAACCGUGUGCCUACAAAUAGUCAGAGCCCGUUAAUGGGUGAUGGCGUGCCUUUUGUAGAAUGAACCGGCGAGUUACGAUAUCGUGCGAGGUUAAGCAGAAGAUGCGGAGCCGUAGCGAAAGCGAGUCUGAAUAGGGCGAAGAGUACGAUGUUGUAGACCCGAAACCGUGUGAGCUAGCCAUGAGCAGGCUGAAGGUCAGGUAACACUGACUGGAGGGCCGAACCAGGGCACGUUGAAAAGUGCUUGGAUGACUUGUGGCUAGGGGUGAAAUUCCAAUCGAACACGGAUAUAGCUGGUUCUCUCCGAAAUAGCUUUAGGGCUAGCCUCGAUGUUAAGUCUACUGGAGGUAGAGCACUGAAUGGGUGAUGGCCCCACCUCGGGGUACUGAUCUCAAUCAAACUCCGAAUGCCAGAUAGAUAUAAUCGGGAGUCAGACUGUGGGUGAUAAGGUCCAUGGUCAAAAGGGAAAGAGCCCAGACCGCCAGCUAAGGACCCCAAAUGUCCGUUAAGUGGACAAGGAUAUGGAGGUUGGCUUAGAAGCAGCCAUCCUUUAAAGAGUGCGUAAUAGCUCACUAGUCGAGUGACUCUGCGCCGAAAAUGUACCGGGGCUAAACGGACCGCCGAAGCUGCGGAUUGACUUUAGAGUCAGUGGUAGGAGAGCGUUCUAACAGCGGUGAAGCAGUACCGGAAGGAGCUGUGGAGCGGUUAGAAGUGAGAAUGCCGGUGUGAGUAGCGAAAGAUAGGUGAGAAUCCUAUCCAUCGAAAGCCUAAGGUUUCCAGGGGAAGGCUCGUCCGCCCUGGGUAAGUCGGGACCUAAGGUGAGGCCGAAAGGCGUAGCCGAUGGACAACAGGUUGAUAUUCCUGUACCACUUAUUAAACUGAUGGAGUGACGGAGAAGGCUAAGUUGAGCGUGUGAUUGGAUUCACGUGUAAGCAGUGAGGUGGUCAUGUAGGCAAAUCCGCAUGGCAUAACAUUGAGCUGUGAUGCCGAAGCCGACUGGCGAAGUCAACUGACGUCACGCUUCCAAGAAAAGCUUCUAGGGUUAAUUUAAUAAGUGCCCGUACCGAUAACCGACACAGGUAGGCGAGGAGAGAAUCCUAAGAUGAGCGAGAGAACUCUUGUUAAGGAACUCGGCAAAAUGACCCCGUAACUUCGGGAGAAGGGGUGCUUGUGAAAGCAAGCCGCAGUGAAUAGGCCCAGGCGACUGUUUAUCAAAAACACAGGUCUCUGCUAAACCGCAAGGUGAUGUAUAGGGGCUGACGCCUGCCCGGUGCUGGAAGGUUAAGAGGAGAGGUUAGCGCAAGCGAAGCUUUGAAUUGAAGCCCCAGUAAACGGCGGCCGUAACUAUAACGGUCCUAAGGUAGCGAAAUUCCUUGUCGGGUAAGUUC